rnacentral:rRNA from 1 species
GACGAACGCUGGCGGCGUGCCUAACACAUGCAAGUCGAGCGAGUGAAUCUCCUUCGGGAGUGAAGCUAGCGGCGGACGGGUGAGUAACACGUGGGCAACCUGCCUCAUAGAGGGGAAUAGCCUUUCGAAAGGAAGAUUAAUACCGCAUAAGAUUGUAGCUUCGCAUGAAGUAGCAAUUAAAGGAGCAAUCCGCUAUGAGAUGGGCCCGCGGCGCAUUAGCUAGUUGGUGAGGUAACGGCUCACCAAGGCGAUGAUGCGUAGCCGACCUGAGAGGGUGAUCGGCCACAUUGGGACUGAGACACGGCCCAGACUCCUACGGGAGGCAGCAGUGGGGAAUAUUGCACAAUGGGGGAAACCCUGAUGCAGCAACGCCGCGUGAGUGAUGACGGCCUCGGUGUAAGACUCUUCGUCCGGUACGGAAGUACGUAGUAGGUUAAGUUAACCGUUACGUUCGUCGGAGUGGACGGUACCGGUACCGACGUAAGAAAGACAACCGGACCGUAACCUAACCGUUACGUACCG